GAGGUGAUCAUGUGCGGUUUGUUGGCUUUACGAAUUUCCUUUGACUAGGAAUCCAUAGCGGGUGCGAGACCCGUACGUAUUGCCGGCUUUUCGUACGCGUUUAUCUCUUGGAGUAGGGUUGUUUGAGAUCGCAGCCCUAAGUAGGUGGUAUACUUCAUCUAAAGCUAAAUACGACUACGAAUCCGAUAGCAAACAAGUACCGUGAGGGAAAGUUGCAAAGUACUUUGAAGAGAGAGUUCAAGAGGACGUGAAACCGAUAGGAUGGAAGCAGAUGAAGUUGACGAACGUGUGUCGUAUUCAGAAUCGCUGUCAGCGGUUUGUUCUUACGACCGAUGUGGGCCGGCGGCUUUGGUCAAUGUAAUGUGUCUAGCGUCGAUGGAGACCCUGCGGAGGGAUAAUCGGUCGGCGUACGGUGCUUAGUAUGGCUAAGGUUUUGCCGGUCUUAAAGUCAGCGCCUCAUCUGACCCGUCUUGAAACACGGACCAAGGAGUGUAGCGUUUGCGCAAGUCUUAGAGUGUGUCGAAACUUUGAGGCGUAACGAAAGUAAAUGCAGUUUAAUCUGCUGACUUGGGAUACGUUGUCUCUUGUGGACGGCGUUGGACCAUGGUUUUAUCGCGAUCGCUUGCGAUGCGGUGAAAAUAGAGCGUAAACGGUGCGACCCGAAAGAUGGUGAACUAUGCCUGAGCAGGAUGAAG
rnacentral:rRNA from 1 species